rnacentral:rRNA from 1 species
GAACCUGCGGGGAACGAUAACGGCGUCGAGCGGCGGACGGGUGAGUAAUGCCUAGGAAAUUGCCCUGAUGUGGGGGAUAACCAUUGGAAACGAUGGCUAAUACCGCAUGAUGCCUACGGGCCAAAGAGGGGGACCUUCGGGCCUCUCGCGUCAGGAUAUGCCUAGGUGGGAUUAGCUAGUUGGUGAGGUAAGGGCUCACCAAGGCGACGAUCCCUAGCUGGUCUGAGAGGAUGAUCAGCCACACUGGAACUGAGACACGGUCCAGACUCCUACGGGAGGCAGCAGUGGGGAAUAUUGCACAAUGGGCGCAAGCCUGAUGCAGCCAUGCCGCGUGUGUGAAGAAGGCCUUCGGGUUGUAAAGCACUUUCAGUCGUGAGGAAGGU